ACAGAGAAGAUGAGAAGCAAAGCAAGAAAAAUUAAAGAGGGGACGGUGUGCAGGAGGAAGCGAUGGCGAUUAUAUUGCAUUAGAAGACUGAAAUUAACAUAUGGAUACUCAGUUCACAAGUCCAGCUGCAGCAAUAAAACAGACUGCAGAGCCUGUUGGAAGAGAAAAAGUUAACUUAGGCAGACAAUAUUUCCUCCUCUUCCUGAGUUCUUAUUGCUUUUAGAGUGGGCUGAAAGCAAUAAGACAUCCUAUGUCUGUGAGAAUUUUUAUUUGACACUCAAUAAGAGCGGUUUUUAAUGUCACCGCAUCCAGUUAAUUUCCUGUAUCUAUUUUAUCUCGGUACUUUUUACUUAACCUGCGUGUGCUGAAGUGUGUUUGUGUAACAAAGAAUUGCCCCCGUUUACAGGAAGCAACUUACAUGUUAGCUUACAUGUGGUGUAUGUGUUUGGGAAGCGCCGAGCUCAAACCACUAUAAGUGCCAACCAUUUAGACUAGGGGCUGUGGGUUAAUACUGCUUUUAACAUAAUAGUGUAGUGGGGUAAAAAACAGGCUUAUGCAAAUUUCUUAAUCACAGCCUAAAACAUGCUUUGUGUGACACUUCCUUGAACGGCAGUUUGGAGUUUAAAUUGCUGCUAAAAUCGCUUUCUGCUAUCAGAGAAUCAUCAAAUGUAAAUUUUUUGAUAGAUUCAAUCUGUGUUUUUAGUUCACACCGCAGGCAGUGUCCCUUCAAAUUAACUGAACCAAGUGUGCGAGCACUUUAAACCACACAAAUAGGCCGUAAGCAUAAAAAUGUUCCCAUUUAGUUCAAAGUUUCUCCAAUAUUUUUUUAAACUUGUUAGCUAUAACAAUGGGAAACAUCAAUAAUUACGUCUAUAAAGAAGAAAACACAGCUAAGCAAUGAUGCAAUGGUUUGUGAAAAGGACUAAUGUACUGUAUGCACAUAUAAUUACAGUUUUUUAAAUUCACUUUGCUUUUGUAAUAAUGUGAGUUUCCUAACUGCGGGACAAAUGCAGGCUCUCUCAUGCUGUAAGUGGAGCUUUUUAAGUGUAAGCUUUGAAAGCUUAGUCAUUUUAGACAGUCUCCAAUAUUCAAAAGAAACUCAAAACAAACAAACACUAUUGUGAAAAUGCACAAAGGAUCAUUUUAUAUGCCGUCUAUCCAUCCAUUUUCUUCCGCUUGCACUCAACAAUUAACCCAAUCCCUGGACUGGGAGGAAACCAGAACACCCGGAGAGAACCCAUGCAGACAUAACAAAACAGGCAAACCAGCUGGAUUCAAACCCAGGACGUUCUCGCUGUGAGGUGAGGGUGCUAACAACCACACCGCUGCACUGCCCUGGUUUUCAAUACUAGGAUAAAAAAAAAAUCCUCGUGGACAUCACCACAUGGUGCUUUUCUCCCCUCGAGAUGCUCGGCCAGGCCUUCACUGCACCUGCAUUGAGUUACUGCUUAGUUUUGUCUUCAUGCACUAAAGAGCAUCCUUUGUUGGUUUGUGAUCAGGUGACUGACAUGGCCAUUGAAGAAUAUCACAUUUCUUUGCCCCCAAAACUCUGCACAAUCGGUUGUGCAGCAUCUGGCUCAAUCUGAGCUGGCCAGUGCAUUCCUAAUUGUCUAAGAAUGCACCACAUAGCUGAUUUGGCACCUUUUUUGCUCUGUGAUACUUUUAUUUUUGUUGCCUGAUGAUGACCACCUUUACUUGCAUCAACAUCUUUCUGCACCCAUUGAGAGCUCCAGUGAACACCUACCAUGUGCAAGUGCAACACUUGAAAUCGACUUCGAAUCUUCUACCUGCCUUCUUUGCCAUGGAAUAAAUAAAAAUGGAGCAGGGCUCAUCUGACCAUGAAAAAGAAUGGCUGUAAAUCAAGUCCUGUACGUAUUUCUUUCUUUUUAAACCACUUAAAGUCUGUGGUUCUGUCCCAUUUGACAGACAGAGGCAAAAUUGCAGCACUGCUUACAGACCACAGUGUACUUAAUAGAAAGCAACGGUUGAUUCAAUCAAGAGAAGCGGCGUAUUUCUAUAAUCUAGCUCCAACUCUGACCCAGGGAACCCCAAUUUGAUGAUUCCUGUUCUUUGCCCACUGACCUGCAAAUAAAACACAGCUGACAACUAAGAGGAGAGUCAGCGUUUGGCCUACAGUCUGUAAGCCGUUUGAUUCAAGUUCAUUUUCUCCAGUCUUUUGAAUAUUCAUACACCAGUUUGUGCCUAUUUAUGUCAAAGAAAACUGAAAACCCAGGCGCCAGGUGGCAGUUAUAUAAUGCACCCGGGCUCUCUGGUGUUCUGCAUUCCCGUCCAAUAUUUUUUCUCUUGCAGAUAAACUUUUCUCAUGCGACACCAUCCCCGCUGAGUCAACUUGCAUAUAGAUCCACGCUUCUGUGCUCUUUUGUGACUUGAAUAGCUCGUAUUUCAACUCGAUUUCUCUUCAUGUCAAAUCUGGCUGCACAUUAAAAACAUGUCACACACGCCUGUGUUUUAGAAUCAUUUAAGGAGUCAUUUUUACAUCUGUCACUGAAAAUGAAUUAUGAGCCAAUACAGGAUAUUCAGAGGUAAACAUGGAAUCAUGCCUAUAUGUGUACUGACUCAUAAGAUUAACUGACAACCUCUCAAACGACCUCAGAAAACAUGAGCGACUCAAAUGAUUAGCUGUGAGUUUGUUUGGUUUUUUUAAACAAAAACCUAUUAUUUGUACUCUGUCCCCUUUUCUCCUGCAGGCUCCUGGGUGGUUGUCAAUCUGCUUCUAGUGCUAUAAGAGCAGGAGGAGGAAAUGCUGCGCUGCUACUGACAGAUCACAACACUGUGUCGUCUGUGUGUGUGGGAAAAUUAAUUCUGUUCACCAUAAAAGUUUCCAUUUUGGCCCAAAAUUCAUGUUUUGGGAGUGAUGCAGAAAAAUACCCCAAAUUUCUCCUUAAUUAGUAUAAAAGAGCAAAGUAACAGUCUGUUCACUGAGACUUUAAAGUCUUUACAGUUUAUUAUUACAGCCAUGCAUGACUGAAGAAGUCUGCAGGAUGAGCGAUGAAAUAUUUCUCCCAUUGAAAACGUCGUUUCCAGAUGAACAAUUCGUUUUCUGGGAGUGCAAAGAAAGAUUUUUGCCACAAAAUGUGGGUUUCCAUCUGCUGUAUAUACAUAUACAUACAGCCAUAUUCAUUCUGCACAUGUCCUCUGAGGCUAGAAACUGAAUCUGUGUGUUUACUUUUACCAGACAUAUCAAUACAGACAUCAAAUAGAGGAGACGUGGUAUAGACAGAAUGACAAUUAGAGAAAUAAAGAGGCAGGCAGGGAGAAUGACAGAGACAUGACAGCGGGCCAGAAGAUGCGAAAAAUGCUUCCUGUCUUUUGUACAGCUGUUAACUCUGUUGUUUGCUACCUGUGAGUGUGUCUUAAGACAGACGCGCCUCAUCUCUGAAGCACAAGCAGGUCGACCACCUUCUCAUAUCAAUUCUGGUCAGUCGUGCUUUCUGGCUUGCCGGUCUUCCCCUCGACACCGGCCGCUCUACUUCUUCAUUUAUCUCACAGCCCUUCUCAAAUCUCUCAUCUCACUGGGUGGAAACUCAUUUUCCCCCCCGUCUUUCUAUUUGUCCAACUUUUUCUCUCUGGCUUUCAAUCUCACUCUUUGUCAGUCCUCCCAUGUGUCACGGCUUUCUAUUUUGUAUUGUUAUUUUGCUACCUAUUUCUGGGGCCACUGCGACUCUCAUGCCAUUAUUAAUUUCCAUCAUCUGCCUCUUUCGGCUUCUCUUAUCUGCUGUGUAGCUCUCUGCCUCUCCUACUUUGUUUAUGCUUCCCUUCGUACCCCACACUGCCAUCUGAGCUGCUGAGUAUCCAUUGAUAUUCCAAACUAAACCUCAGCGCAAAGACAAAAAUACACGAUGCUGCAGAUAUGUAUUGAUCUUAAUUUUAUUCUCUUUCUCUGGGUGCUCCGACUCUUUCUUUGCAAGCUUCUGCCUUCUGUCUCUCUCUUCUUCACAUUCCUUUACACUAAACUUCUCUGCAGCUGAUGCUGUUUUGUUAGGCCCUUGACAGCGCUUUGCAAAAAACACAGCUGCCUACCUUUUUCCAUCUGUGUGUCUUCUACACUACAUCUCCUCUCAGGCGUUCCUAUAUAGAACACUAACUGCAUAGAAGAAGAGUUUCUAACCAUUUAUGAAUCUUUUGAAGAUUAUUGUGUUAGAGAUGUGAAUGUAUAACCAACUAUAAAAUCCAACGCUUCUGUGCGCUGUCUGUAGCUGCCACCUUUGUUGCAUAAGCUUCUCUACAUUACACCUCUUCUAUUGUUUCACAGUUCUUAACCACCUACAGUCUUCAGGUUCUGCGCCCCACAGGUAAGCAAGAGAAGUUGUUUUAGUAGGUAUACUGACUUUUAAAAAAAAUAAUUAGUAUGCAGGAUGGCACCUAAGACUUAUUAAACAAAUUCUUCGGCACUUAACGGCAUCAGAUAAACUACACUGACAGUUUCAAAGUCAAUAAAAUACUUUUAGACCAAAUCCUCAAAUACUCAGCUGCCUCCUGCUUUGGUUUCUUAACACUAUACUGGUUUUUGUGUCUCUCACACACACAUCAUGAAUCUCUUCUAACCCAGCGACAUAUUAGUGCUCUUCUCGCCUUUGCACACCCGUCAUGCAGCCUCCUGUCAGACUCACCUGCUUAGCCAUUUUGGGUUUAUCAUAUCCCUGCGUUAAACAAGUUUCCCUUUCUGCUUAACACGAUGUCUUUGAUACGACUUUAUUAAUGACUUGUGUCGCCUGUGACAGUAAUGAGAUUAUGUGUCGGUGUCUGCGCACAUUAGCGGUGAUGGUCGGUAAAUAAAUGACUCCAUGUUUGUGAAAAUCUGUGUUUAUAUUUCUGUCAAACAUGAUUAAUAGCACACUGACUCAUCAGCACAUGCCAGAUACACGUAAGGCGAUGUCGCCCUCCUGCUUUUUCUGUGCUGUAUGCAUGUGUGGGUGAAUGACUGGUAUGGACAGACCAGUAACCUGUGAGUAGGUGUAUAUUUAUGUAUGUGUGCACAUUAAAAAAAGGCAUCAGAUGUUUGUUUUUCUCCACAGUGGUAACUUCUCUUAUAAGAGGGACACGUGUGAACGGCCAGCUCAGCAGGACUCAGCAGGAUACCCAAUGACAGCAGACUGAAAAAUAAAUAAAAAUCCAAUCAUAGUUCCCUACAAUAUUCAGAACAAAUGUUUGAGGCUCACUUUCCUUUCUUGGCCUAUUCGCUAGAUUUCCAACAACCUUGAUGGGAAGUGCGGAACAAUAUAUGAUUACAGUGAAAGCCUUUAUAUCCGAUUCCCACAACAUCAACUGCUGCAGGCUUUGGGUCUAGCGCUGAGCUCUAAAAGAUGUGCUGGCUAAAUCAUUUUUGAUCAAGACUUUCUGUGUCUUUUACAGACUAUCUGCCAAAAGCUCAUAAACACUGUCAGUUACAAGAACACAGUUAAUAAUGCAUCUGCACUGCAAAAGUCAUGUGUAUUGACAGCAACCACCUCGGAUUUGCCACAAGCACCUACAAAGCUCCAGUUCUGGGCUUUUCUCUGCUUUCACAAAACUUACUGUAAUUCUACAAACUAGUCAGUACGGCCAAAGCUACAAACACCAAUUGAUUACUGUCACUAACUGACACGACGCUACCUACCCUUCUGUGCACUGGACUUUUUUUUUUUUGUUGCCGUCACUCAUUUGGCCACCACGCAGUCCAUCUCCAACUUAACACUCAAGCUGUCAGAGUCUCAUCAAACGCAACAUCUCACAUGGCCAAAAAGUCAAUUCGUCCGGAACUCAUGCAACUCAAAACUCCCCCCAGUGACGGCUGCCUGUCUUUUAACGUUGUCAGUGCUGCUUUGAUAGGUGCUCGACUGCCAGGUUAUUAAUAUUUCACUGGUGGUAACUCUGGCUUUCAAACAUAAAGGCACGCUGCACCUAAGGACACUAAUGCAUUAUGUAUCAGACGGUAUGUCCUGAAGAAUAUAGGAAGAAAAAGGCGGAUUUAGCCGAUAGCACAAUGUCUCAACACUGUCGAUACGCCAACUCCAGAGAACUACAGUUACAAUAGUAACAAUUCAUGCUUAAAUUCAGUGAAACAGCAAUGAGAAAACUGAAAUCAGUCGUUCUAGUCUUUUAGCCUCCGUGAGGUGACUCAUUCUGCUUACGACGGGUCACUCUUUGACAUGUUUUCAUUCCACGGUUUGCUCGGCACCGCUAAUCGGAUCCGAUCUGAUGGAAGUGCCCAUCGUCAUGACAACAGGGGCAGGCUCGUUUCUGUGGCAAAGACUGAUGUUGAGCACAAAACUGAGUGAAAGUUUAAAAAAAAAAAACGACAAUAGCUCUGACGGAGAGGAGAUUAGAUAAACAGCAGCAAGGCGAGGUGACAGCUGAGGUUGGAAAGAAACAUCAGUGCACUCGGUAACAGAACAAAGAUCUUCUAUCCUGAGACAGGAUCUCCACCUCUGAGCCACUGACAUGGUGCAGCAGCGGUGACUUGAUUUUAGGAGACGUCAUGCUGGUGGCCCCCUGAUGCGCAUAGCAGUCGCCCUCGCUUUAUGCACUCGUGAGGAGACGAGAAAAGAAGAGCAGAGGCAAAGAAACUGUUUGCAGCUUGUGCCAGAUGAGAAAAAGCAUGAAACAGAACUUGUGUGUUUGCAUGUGUGUAAUUACAUGCACACCUUUAAUAAAGCUCUCUGGCCCGUGUUUGUUACAAAAAGGUACAAGUGAAGAAGGACGUGAAGGACAAAUGUUGGGAGAGUAUUUUGCGAUCUAAAUAGCCGUGUCCAUUUUUUCCAGCAGAUAGGGAAGUU